rnacentral:tRNA from 1 species
UGAAAAAUUAUAUUUCAACAGACUCAUAAUCUGGAGGUCCCAGGUUCAAGCCCUGGCUGGUCCA